GGACAACAAUGGAGAUGUGGAGA
rnacentral:siRNA from 1 species